GUGCUCACCUGGCAAAACAUAUACUAAAAUUGAAACAUAUAGAGAAAAUUAGCAUGGCCUUGAACAAGGAUGACAUGCAAAUUCAUAAAGUGUUCCAUAUAUUU
ensembl:snRNA U6 U6 spliceosomal RNA